rnacentral:rRNA from 1 species
GACGAACGCUGGCGGCGUGCUUAACACAUGCAAGUCGAACGAAGAGCGAUGGAAGCUUGCUUCUAUCAAUCUUAGUGGCGAACGGGUGAGUAACGCGUAAUCAACCUGCCCUUCAGAGGGGGACAACAGUUGGAAACGACUGCUAAUACCGCAUACGAUCUAAUCUCGGCAUCGAGGAAAGAUGAAAGGUGGCCUCUAUUUAUAAGCUAUCACUGAAGGAGGGGAUUGCGUCUGAUUAGCUAGUUGGAGGGGUAACGGCCCACCAAGGCGAUGAUCAGUAGCCGGUCUGAGAGGAUGAACGGCAACAUUGGGACUGAGACACGGCCCAGACUCCUACGGGAGGCAGCAGUGGGGAAUCUUCCGCAAUGGACGAAAGUCUGACGGAGCAACGCCGCGUGAGUGAUGACGGCCUUCGGGUUGUAAAGCUCUGUUAAUCGGGACGAAAGGCCUUCUUGCGAACAGUUAGAAGGAUUGACGGUACCGGAAUAGAAAGCCACGGCUAACUACGUG